rnacentral:rRNA from 1 species
CCCCUAGAUGUUCUGGGCCGCACGCGCGCUACACUGAACAGUUCAACAAGUCUUAACCUUGGCCGAUAGGUCUGGGUAAUCUUUGAACGCUGUUCGUGAUUGGGAUAGACCUUUGCAAUUAUGGGUCUUCAACGAGGAAUUCCUAGUAAACGCAAGUCAUCAGCUUGCAUUGGUUACGUCCCUGCCCUUUGUACACACCGCCCGUCGCACCUACCGAUUGAAUGGUCCGGUGAAAUCUCGGGACGGCGGCUUGGUCGCUUGCGUCCGACUGCUGAAACUUGAUUAAACCAUAUCAUUUAGAGGAAGGUGAAGUCGUANCA